rnacentral:ncRNA from 1 species
AGAACUAUAGUUCUGAUAAAAGGAAUGAUAGGUGCAUGAUACCUUGAAACUUUUGCAUUAAAACUACGAGGUAGCAUCAUAAAAGUAAUGGUGUUAUAAGCCCGUUAAAGUCGGCAGAAGCUUGGGAAAGAUUAAUAGCUUAUACAGCAUUAUGACGAGUCAGGUAAUAUGCCGGAUGGCUAUAAA